rnacentral:rRNA from 1 species
CCUACGGGGGGCAGCAGUGAGGAAUAUUGGUCAAUGGGCGCGAGCCUGAACCAGCCAAGUCGCGUGAGGGAAGACGGUCCUAUGGAUUGUAAACCUCUUUUGUCGGGGAGCAAAAGACGCCACGCGUGGCGUUCCGAGAGUACCCGACGAAAAAGCAUCGGCUAACUCCGUGCCAGCAGCCGCGGUAAUACGGAGGAUGCGAGCGUUAUCCGGAUUUAUUGGGUUUAAAGGGUGCGUAGGCGGAAUAUCAAGUCAGCGGUAAAAAUUCGGGGCUCAACCCCGUCGUGCCGUUGAAACUGAUGUUCUGGAGUGGGCGAGAAGUAUGCGGAAUGCGUGGUGUAGCGGUGAGAUGCAUAGAUAUCACGCAGAACUCCGAUUGCGAAGGCAGCAUACCGGCGCCCAACUGACGCUGAAGCACGAAAGCGUGGGUAUCGAACAGGAUUAGAUACCCUGGUAGUC